GUGGGGAAUAUUGGACAAUGGGGGGAACCCUGAUCCAGCCAUGCCGCGUGUGUGAAGAAGGCCUUUUGGUUGUAAAGCACUUUAAGCGAGGAGGAGGCUACCGAGAUUAAUACUCUUGGAUAGUGGACGUUACUCGCAGAAUAAGCACCGGCUAACUCUGUGCCAGCAGCCGCGGUAAUACAGAGGGUGCAAGCGUUAAUCGGAUUUACUGGGCGUAAAGCGCGCGUAGGUGGCCAAUUAAGUCAAAUGUGAAAUCCCCGAGCUUAACUUGGGAAUUGCAUUCGAUACUGGUUGGCUAGAGUAUGGGAGAGGAUGGUAGAAUUCCAGGUGUAGCGGUGAAAUGCGUAGAGAUCUGGAGGAAUACCGAUGGCGAAGGCAGCCAUCUGGCCUAAUACUGACACUGAGGUGCGAAAGCAUGGGGAGCAAACGGGAUUAGAAACCCGGGUAGUCC
rnacentral:rRNA from 1 species